AAUCAACGCUGGCGGCGUGCCUCAGACAUGCAAGUCGAACGCGAAAGUCCCCUUCGGGGGGACAAGUAGAGUGGCGCACGGGUGAGUAACACGUAGGUAAUCUACCUUCGGAUGGGGAAUAACAACCGGAAACGGUUGCUAAUACCGCAUAAUGCAGCGGCACCUAAUGGUGACAGUUGUUAAAGCGGGGGAUCGUUAAGACCUCGCGUCUGAAGAGGAGCCUGCGGCGGAUUAGCUAGNGGUAGGGUAACGGCCUACCAAGGCGACGAUCCGUAGCCGGCCUGAGAGGGCGGGUCGGCCACACUGACACUGACAUACGGGUCAGACUCCUACGGGAGGCAGCAGUCGGGAAUUUUGGGCAAUGGGCGAAAGCCUGACCCAGCAACGCCGCGUGAAGGAUGAAAUCCCUCGGGAUGUAAACUUCGCAAGAACGGGAAGAAUAAGCGAGAGUAAAUACCUUUCGCGAUGACAGUACCGUUUGUAAGCUCCGGCUAACUCCGUGCCAG
rnacentral:rRNA from 1 species